ACAAUUUAUCGCAUGAGACAGAUCAUUUUAAUUUUAGCCUCAUUUUACAUCAAAUUUGAUUCAGAAAUGAAAGGGUUACUCUCUUAUAAUAAUGAAAAUAUUUUUUUCUUUAGAGAGGGUUGGCUGCCUGACUCAUUGGUUAGGAUUUCAUAACCUGGACAGAAGACCUGAAGCCCCCACCGCUGUGUAUGUUUGUUUAGGAAGUGGCAGGUGAAUUAACCGAUCUCAUUUUAAUUUAUAGUGGGUGGGACCAAAAAAAAAGAAAAAAGAAAAAAGAGAAAUGGUCGUCAGCUCCUCGAAUAGGUGUGCUCGCUGGCUUCACUCAAUCCUCCCGGGGUGAAAACUCAACCCGGAACUUGAAAAAAAAAAAAAAAUGUUUUCAUGUUGGAGGAAGUGAAGAAGAUCAAGUUGCCGACUGUCUGAAAUGGACUGCACAUGACGAUAUUCACAACGUGGAAUGGUUUCAUGAAAAAACCCUUGUGGACCCUUAUGGACUAAAGGAAUAUAAAUAAUAGAGUAAUAGACAAACAAUCAGUGUCCACGAUUGUUUCAAAGCUGCAGCCAGGGCCUCAUGCAAAGUUACUCCAGCUGCCACCACAGUCACUUGGUCAUCCUUGCCCUGGUACACCACCUGGAAAACAGAAAAGGGGCGCAGGGUCACUUUGGCCCAGGCGGUUGAUGUCCAAGAUGGCCACCAGGUUGUCAAGCUGAUAGUAGGAGGCAAACGACAU